rnacentral:rRNA from 1 species
UACGGAGGAUGCAAGCGUUAUCCGGAAUUAUUGGGCGUAAAGCGUCCGCAGGUGGCACUUCAAGUCUGUCGUCAAAGACCGGGGCUUAACCCUGGAAAGGCGAUGGAAACUGAAAGGCUAGAGAGAGGUAGGGGUAGAGGGAAUUCCCAGUGUAGCGGUGAAAUGCGUAGAGAUUGGGAAGAACACCGGUGGCGAAAGCGCUCUGCUGGACCUUAACUGACACUGAGGGACGAAAGCUAGGGGAGCGAAUGGG